GCAAACUUGGUCAUUUAGAGGAAGUACAAGUCGUAACAAGGUUUCCGUAGGUGAACCUGCGGAAGGAUCAUUAACGAAUCAUGUGUGAUGUAUGAUUGUGUGUGUGAUUGUGUGUGUGAUGUUGGUUGUAUGCAUGUGGAUGCAUGUAUGUAGAUAAUAUACACAUUUGUGCAUGUAUAUGUAUGUGUGUAGAUAAUAUACACAUUUGUGCAUGUAUAUGUGUGUGUAGAUAAUAUACACAUUUGUGCAUCCACAUGCAUACAAUCACAUUAUACACCAUACAUUGGCCCUCCCUGAUUGGGAAGUGCAUAUUCAUGCUAUUAUUGUGUUGUUGUUGUUGUGGCAUGUGUAUAUGAUGUAUGCAUCAUACACAUGCAUGUGCAUAAACAGAUAACUUUUAACAAUGGAUCUCUAGGCUCUUGCAUCGAUGAAGAACGCAGC
rnacentral:misc_RNA from 1 species